UUAAAAGCUUGACUUAGCUUUUACAGCUGCAGAUUUUUAACUGCCAUCUGUGCUGUUUACCAUUUAUUUUUCAGCUACUACUGGACUGUUUUAAAAAAAAUCCCCACUUCUCAUAGUAAAGGCUAUAUGGUGCAUACAAAAUGGACAAAUGCAACCAUAAAUAUAAUUAAUAAAACGUCUAUCUUAAUUUAAGGGUUUAAGAAAUUA